rnacentral:rRNA from 1 species
UACGGGGGGGGCAAGCGUUGUUCGGAAUUACUGGGCGUAAAGGGCUUGUAGGCGGCCAACUAAGUCCGACGUGAAAUCCCCAGGCUUAACCUGGGAACUGCGUCGGAUACUGGAUGGCUUGAAUCCGGGAGAGGGAUGCGGAAUUCCAGGUGUAGCGGUGAAAUGCGCAGAUAUCGGGAGGAACACCGGUGGCGAAGGCGGUUCUCUGGGCCUGACCUGACGCUGAGGAGCGAAAGCGUGGGGAGCGAACAGG